GUCCAAGCGGGCUUGCUCGCGAAGGCGCCGGGUCAGUCAGCAUUGAAGUUGACUGACCUACCGCUUUCGCGAGCAAGCUCGCUCCCAC
rnacentral:misc_RNA from 1 species